rnacentral:rRNA from 2 species
CGGGGAGGAGCCCAGAACCUGAAUCAGUUUGUGUGUUAGUGGAAGCGUCUGGAAAGUCGCACAGUAAAGGGUGAUAGUCCCGUACACAAAAAUGCACAGGCUGUGAGUUCGAUGAGUAGGGCGGGACACGUGACAUCCUGUCUGAAUAUGGGGGGACCAUCCUCCAAGGCUAAAUACUCCUGACUGACCGAUAGUGAACCAGUACCGUGAGGGAAAGGCGAAAAGAACCCCGGCGAGGGGAGUGAAAUAGAACCUGAAACCGUGUACGUACAAGCAGUGGGAGCCUACUUGUUAGGUGACUGCGUACCUUUUGUAUAAUGGGUCAGCGACUUAUAUUCUGUAGCAAGGUUAACCGUUUAGGGGAGCCGCAGGGAAACCGAGUCUUAACUGGGCGUUAAGUUGCAGGGUAUAGACCCGAAACCCGGUGAUCUAGCCAUGGGCAGGUUGAAGGUUGGGUAACACUAACUGGAGGACCGAACCGACUAAUGUUGAAAAAUUAGCGGAUGACUUGUGGCUGGGGGUGAAAGGCCAAUCAAACCGGGAGAUAGCUGGUUCUCCCCGAAAGCUAUUUAGGUAGCGCCUCGUGAACUCAUCUUCGGGGGUAGAGCACUGUUUCGGCUAGGGGGUCAUCCCGACUUACCAACCCGAUGCAAACUACGAAUACCGAAGAAUGUUAUCACGGGAGACACACGGCGGGUGCUAACGUUCGUCGUGAANNNNNNNNNNGAGGGAAACAACCCAGACCGCCAGCUAAGGUCCCAAAGUCAUGGUUAAGUGGGAAACGAUGUGGGAAGGCAUAGACAGCCAGGAUGUUGGCUUAGAAGCAGCCAUCAUUUAAAGAAAGCGUAAUAGCUCACUGGUCGAGUCGGCCUGCGCGGAAGAUGUAACGGGGCUAAACCAUGCACCGAAGCUGCGGCAGCGACACUUAGGUGUUGUUGGGUAGGGGAGCGUUCUGUAAGCCGUCGAAGGUGGUCUGUGAGGGCUGCUGGAGGUAUCAGAAGUGCGAAUGCUGACAUAAGUAACGAUAAUGCGGGUGAAAAACCCGCACGCCGGAAGACCAAGGGUUCCUGUCCAACGUUAAUCGGGGCAGGGUGAGUCGACCCCUAAGGCGAGGCUGAAAAGCGUAGUCGAUGGGAAACAGGUUAAUAUUCCUGUACUCGGUGUUACUGCGAAGGGGGGACGGAGAAAGCUAGGUUAUCCGGGCGACGGUUGUCCCGGUUUAAGCGUGAAGGUGGAUGACUUUGGUAAAUCCGGGUCAUU